GAUGAAGAACGCAGCGAAAUGCGAUAAGUAAUGUGAAUUGCAGAAUUCCGUGAAUCAUCGAAUCUUUGAACGCAUAUUGCGCCCGCUGGUAUUCCGGCGGGCAUGCCUGUUCGAGCGUCAUUUCAACCCUCAAGCCCCCGGGUUUGGUGUUGGGGAUCGGCUCUGCCCUUCUGGGCGGUGCCGCCCCCGAAAUACAUUGGCGGUCUCGCUGCAGCCUCCAUUGCGUAGUAGCUAACACCUCGCAACUGGAACGCGGCGCGGCCAUGCCGUAAAACCCCAACUUCUGAAAGUUGACCUCGGAUCAGGUAGGAAUACCCGCUGAACUUAAGCAUACAAUAAGCGGAGGA
rnacentral:misc_RNA from 1 species